CUUCCGGGGGUGGGGCUAGUCAGCGGUUGGGCGGUUCUGGGAAAGCGGCUUCGGAAUAGUUACUGAGGUUAGACUUUGCACUGCUUGUUCUUUCCCGGGUACAGCAGAGCCCCGGUCGGUCCGGGGUACUCUGCGUCUGAUGUUAGCGAAGGACGGCGAAAUUGGAGUUCAGCUCUCCUGGGCUCUCCUGUACCUCAAACUCCGUUCGAAGAUUCCCGGUUGAGCCCUUCUCAGCCACAGUCCAGGACCAGUCCUGCCCACCCAGGGAGUCAUCCAGUUACCAAGUCCUCCCAGUGACAUGGUGAGAGCUAUAUCCACACACCUGGUAACAGGCUGCUGUCUGAGGACCCAGCUGUGGAACCUGAAGGAGACCCUCUCCCAACCCCAUCCUACUGAACAAGGUGCUGGAGGCAGUCCCAUACCAACAGGGACCAUAGAGAAUCCACGCCUGCCUGAACCCCUGGUAACAAGCCCUCCAACCAUGGACCCCCCUGCAGAGCCAGCAACAUCCUCAUAACUGGCUCCAAGCUAACAAGACUGCAAUUCCAAAGUGCACAUUAGAGAAAGGAGAGAGGCACUUCUGAAGAGAGACCUAGUGACAACGGCAGGAAGCGGCCUCUGACGGAUGUCAGCCAACAACAGGAGAGCACCCAAGCAGCAAAUGGGGGCCUGUUUCUUGGAGUGGCUGCAGUCGUGUUUCCCUGGCGAGGCCCUGCUUCUGGCCACCCUCUCCCACAGCUCUGAGCCUGGAGACUUUUUGUCUUAGAUUUAAAAAAAAAACCACCACCACCACCUUUAGUGGCUUCUCUUGUUUCCCCCUCUCCUAGCUGGAGAGGGGUCGGACUCUGAGCCCAGUUUGCUGGUAAAGAGCCUGAUGAAAGGAUGAUUUCUUGCUCUUUUCUUCCUCUUUCCCUUGGGAGCAGCAGUGGUCUUUGCUUCCCUGGAAAACCAAAUGCAAGCCAAGUGUAUAGUUAAAGAGUGUAUAAGCAAAGAGUGAGGCUUUGCCUCGCCGCACAUUGGCUAAGUGUUGAUUCUCAGACUUGAGCGCGAGGGCAGAAUCAGCUAGAGAGCUUGGUAAGCAGGGACUCCGUCCCCAGACUUUCUGACUCACUAGGUGUGGGGUAUGGACCUAGAAAUGUGCAUUUCUAACAAGUUGCUAUAUGGUUCUGAUGCUACCAAUGUAGGAAACAAACUUGAGAAUCACUGGCCUGAACAGUAAGCCUCAAGCAAGAUCAGUGAUGAAAAUCUCUGGCCAAACAGGAAAAGACAGAAAAUUUCAUCUUUGCUCAGACACUUCUUGCUUCACUUACGUGAGUGUUUGCAUUUUUUCCCCAAGGCAGACUUUGUGACUUGGUGAUUCCCACUUGUGUAACCAGUUGAACUGGAUAUUAUAUUUACUUAGACCAAAAACACCCAUAGUUAUAUAUUCUGUAAAAAUAGAGGAUGCUGGCAGCCUGACUUCCCUGCAAGGGAGGGUGGUUCUCCAAAACCUGCUCUUUCCUAGAUCUGUAUCACUGACUCAUAUUUAGACCAAAGGCACCACAAGCAAACUCAUCAGAAUCAGCAGUUCUGUUUUCUGCUGUCACACCCUGCUCCCCACUUAACUCCACUCUCCCCAAGCUGUUUACUCCAGAUAUCAGAUUUUUUAUUAAACCAUUAACAGUAAUUGCUAAGGCAACACACUACUAAUAUAAAGCCAUUUCAAAAUUAAUUACCUAAUGAUAGGUUGUGAAGUUAAAUUACUAAGAUUAUAUUCAUUGAAAAAAUGUUAGCAAUGAAGAGAGUGGAUGAAAACAUCAGAAGGUUAACACAGUUGCAAGAAGACCAGCAGAGGCGUAUCUGGAGCAAUGUCACUUGCAUCCUUUAAAGCACUCACCAGUGGCUUUUGGCUUGAGCACUGUCUCUAUGCAGUUGUAACUAGACAGAACCCAAGUGGUCAGCUUUGAUUUUGAAACAGAUCUGUCAUAGACAAUAAGAGUUCCUGUUGGGAGAGAAUUCCCUGUCAUUUCCUUAGCAGGACUUGGAGAGAGGAAUGAAUUAUAUUCAGUGAAUUCCAAAUUUCAUUGGUACUAAAAUUGACAUUGUUCUGCACUGUAACAUCUCUUAAAUUCAGGUGCAUCUUACAAUGAAUGGCAUUUUAUAAUUAUGGUUGGCCAGGUGGCGGCUGAGAUGUUCUGUCACUGCCUGAACAUGCACAAACUCAGUGGUUAUUCCUAGUGGGAUGACUUGGCAACUGUAAUCUCCAUGUUUCCAGCAAAAAAAUCAUAAGGACCAUCUGGAAAAGAAACAUGCUGCCUGUUGUUUGAAAACAACAUCAAGAAUGUGUCAGCAUCAAAAUGCAUCCACAAGGUAUUAGUGGCUUAAAAGCAAACAAUAGUGAAAUACUUUUAAGAAAUGCUGCUCACCAGCACCUGGUAAUUAAGGACAUCAAUAAUUUUGAGUCAAAAACAUGAUUCAGAAGAAUAGAGAUUCUGAGUAAAGAAAUUAUACGAAUUUCUUAAUGAAUUUAUUUUGCGUAUAUUUUCCUUUUUAUGU